rnacentral:rRNA from 1 species
AUUGAACGCUGGCGGCAUGCCUUACACAUGCAAGUCGAACGGUAACGCGGGGCAACCUGGCGACGAGUGGCGAACGGGUGAGUAAUACAUCGGAACGUGCCCAGUAGUGGGGGAUAGCCCGGCGAAAGCCGGAUUAAUACCGCAUACGACCUACGGGUGAAAGCAGGGGAUCGCAAGACCUUGCGCUAUUGGAGCGGCCGAUGUCAGAUUAGGUUGUUGGUGGGGUAAAAGCCUACCAAGCCGACGAUCUGUAGCUGGUCUGAGAGGACGACCAGCCACACUGGGACUGAGACACGGCCCAGACUCCUACGGGAGGCAGGAGUGGGGAAUUUUGGACAAUGGGCGCAAGCCUGAUCCAGCCAUGCCGCGUGCGGGAAGAAGGCCUUCGGGUUGUAAACCGCUUUUGUCAGGGAAGAAACGCUCUGGGCUAAUACCCCGGGGUAAUGACGGUACCUGAAGAAUAAGCACCGGCUAACUACGUGCCAGCAGCCGCGGUAAGAC